GAGGGGGGAGAGAGAGCGGGACAGAGAGAGAAAGCGAGAGGAGAGAGAGAGGGAGGAGAGAGAGGGGGGCGAGAGAGAGAGAGAGUGAGGGAGGAAGUAACAGAGAAUUCCAGUUAAGACCAGUUAUGCGCGGGGUAUUGUAAAUCCCAGAGAGAUGGCGUAACCCUGUGACCUCUUGGCCAUGAACUUCCUGCGCCGGCGGACUCGGGAGAGGCUUCCCCCGCCACACCCCCAUUAUCUAGUCAUCUCUCGGCGGCCUCCCCGCCGCUCCGCCUCGCUUAUACAGCCAGGAGCAGGGAAGAGCCCCGACACAGCGGCUGCCCGCACGUCAUCCCACACAGCCUGCGACGCCAACUACAAGGGCCGGGGGAGAAACAGCCCCCCUUGUUUUGCUGCAAUCGACCACCAUGUUUGUAGAAGAAGACAGGAGUCGACCAUCCUGCAAGAGUCUUAAGAACACGAAUAAGAACAAGAACACGAGCUGGGCUCCUUCAUGCUGUAUCCGGCCAAUUACCCCACUCUUCUGAGCCGUCCCGGUCACUGCUCCACCCCCUCUGCUGAUCCGGGGAGGGCUGCAGACUACCACAUGCCUCCUCCCAUACAUGUGGAGUCGCCAGGCGCUUCUUUUCACCUGACAGUGAGGAGUUUCACCAGGGGGACGUAGCGCGUGGGAGGAUCACGCUAUUCCCCCCUGAACAGGCGCCCCGACCGACCAGAGGAGGCGCUAGUGCAGCGACCAGGACACAUACCCACAUCCCGCUUCCCACCCGCAGACACGGCCAAUUGUGUCUGUAGGGACGCCCGACCAAGCCGGAGGUAACAUGGGGAUUCGAACCGACGAUCUCCAUGUUGGUAGGCAAUAGAGUAGACCGCUAUGCUACCCGGACGCCACACAUUACUUUUCUGAUGGUGACCAGACACAACAGCGGAUGGAUUAAAAUCUCAUCCCGCAACAUGAGGUAGAUGUGUUAUGCAGAGGUUUGUUGUACCUGCAGGCUGUCCCAUUCUUGAUCCAGAGCGUGGAGGUUGGAUCUGUCGCCCCUCAUGUUCU